CGGGAGGUAGGGAGCACGGGAGGUAGGGAGCAGUGGAGAUAGGGAGCAGUGGAGGUAGGGAGCAGUGGAGGUAGGGAGCACGGGAGGUAGGGAGCACGGGAGGUAGGGAGCAGUGGAGGUAGGGAGCAGUGGAGGUAGGGAGCAGUGGAGGUAGGCAGCACGGGAGGUAGGGAGCAAGGGAGGUAGGGAGCGGGGAGGAGGGAGCAGUGUAGGUAGGGAGCACGGGAGUAGGGAGCACGGGAGGAAGGGAGCAGUGGAGGUAGGGAGCACGGGAGGUAGGGAGCACGGGAGGUAGGGAGCAGUGGAGAUAGGGAGCAGUGGAGGUAGGGAGCAGUGGAGGUAGGGAGCACGGGAGGUAGGGAGCACGGGAGAUAGGGAGCAGUGGAGGUAGGGAGCACGGGAGUAGGGAGCACGGGAGGUAGGGCGCAGGGAGGAGGGAGCAGUAGAGGUAGGGAGCAUGGGAGGUAG
ensembl:lncRNA